rnacentral:rRNA from 1 species
AUUGAACGCUGGCGGCAGGCCUAACACAUGCAAGUCGAACGAGUGGCGGACGGGUGAGUAAUGUCUGGGAAACUGCCUGAUGAAGGGGGAUAACUACUGGAAACGGCAGCUAAUACCGCAUACCAUCGGAUGUGCCCAGAUGUGAUUAGCUAGUAGGUGGGGUAAAGGCUCUCCUAGGAGACGAUCCCUAGCUGGUCUGAGAGGAUGACCAGCCACACUGGAACUGAGACACGGCCCAGACUCAGAAGCGAGGAAGCAGUGGGAAAUAUUGCACGAUGGGAGAGAGGCUGAUGCAGCCAUGCCGCGUGUAUGAAGAAGGCCUGCGGGUUGUAAAGUACAUUCAGCGGGGAGGCGUUACCCGAAGAAGAAGCACCGGCUAACUCCGUGCCAGCAGCCGCGGUAAUUC